GAUGAACGCUGGCGGCGUGCCUAAUACAUGCAAGUCGAGCGAACGGACGAGAAGCUUGCUUCUCUGAUGUUAGCGGCGGACGGGUGAGUAACACGUGGAUAACCUACCUAUAAGACUGGGAUAACUUCGGGAAACCGGAGCUAAUACCGGAUAAUAUUUUGAACCGCAUGGUUCAAAAGUGAAAGACGGUCUUGCCGUCACUUAUAGAUGGAUCCGCGCUGCAUUAGCUAGUUGGUAAGGUAACGGCUUACCAAGGCAACGAUGCAUAGCCGACCUGAGAGGGUGAUCGGCCACACUGGAACUGAGACACGGUCCAGACUCCUACGGGAGGCAGCAGUAGGGAAUCUUCCGCAAUGGACGAAAGCCUGACGGAGCAACGCCGCGUGAGUGAUGAAGGUCUUCGGAUCGUAAAACUCUGUUAUUAGGGAAGAACAUAUGUGUAAGUAACUGUGCACAUCUUGACGGUACCUAAUCAGAAAGCCACGGCUAACUACGUG
rnacentral:rRNA from 1 species